rfam:Gorilla gorilla gorilla genomic chromosome, chr12, whole genome shotgun sequence
UACAUUCCAUGAUGUCCAGCACUGGGCUCUGAUCACUCCGGAGGACACAGUUUUCCCCAAGACCAUGGCUACCUGGGGAUCUGAGAGAAAA